GGGGUUGUAGCUCAGUGGUAGAGUUCUGACCUCACAUGUGGAAGGCAUUGAGUUCAAGCCUCAGCACCACA
rnacentral:tRNA from 1 species